UUACGGCCAUAUCACGUUGAAACACUGGUUCACGUACGAUCACCGAAGUUAAGCAAUGUCGAGUCUGGACAGUAGCGAAAAUGAGUAACGACUUGGGAAUACCUGGUGCUGUAAG